AGGGCUGAGCCCGAGGGGAGCAGAACCGGGGGCACAGACAUGGGCACGGCCCCCAGUUGUAGGUU
rnacentral:lncRNA from 1 species